UACGAAGGGUGCAAGCGUUACUCGGAAUUACUGGGCGUAAAGCGUGCGUAGGUGGUCUGUUAAGUCUGAUGUGAAAGCCCUGGGCUCAACCUGGGAAUUGCAUUGGAUACUGGCAGGCUAGAGUGCGGUAGAGGGUAGUGGAAUUCCCGGUGUAGCAGUGAAAUGCGUAGAGAUCGGGAGGAACACCAGUGGCGGAAGGCGACUACCUG
rnacentral:rRNA from 1 species